rnacentral:rRNA from 1 species
UUUAAAUGUAAAAAUUGAAGGUCAGAGUAGUAUUAGAUAAAUUCUUAAAAUUAAAAAAAUUUGGCGGUAUUUUAGUCUUUUCAGAGGAAUUUGUUCUAUAAUCGAUAAUCCCCGUUUUAUCUUUCUUAAUUUUGUUAUCAAUUUGUAUAUCGCCGUCAUCAGAAUAUCUUUAUAAAGUAAUAAUUUUCAAUAAUUAAAAAUACAAUUUAUGUCAGGUCAAGGUGCAGUUAAUAGUUAAGAAGAAAUGAAUUACAAUAAAGUUAUUUAUACGGAUAUUUAUUUUAAAGAAUAAAUUGAAGGUGGAUUUGAUAGUAAAUUUAUUGAUUAAAAUAAUUUGAUUUUAGCUCUAAAAUAUGC